rnacentral:rRNA from 1 species
UACGAAGGGGGCUAGCGUUGCUCGGAAUUACUGGGCGUAAAGGGGGCGUAGGCGGACAGUUUAGUCAGAGGUGAAAGCCCAGGGCUCAACCUUGGAAUUGCCUUUGAUACUGACUGUCUUGAGUAUGGGAGAGGUUAGCGGAACUCCGAGUGUAGAGGUGAAAUUCGUAGAUAUUCGGAAGAACACCAGUGGCGAAGGCGGCUAACUGGCCCAUUACUGACGCUGAGGCUCGAAAGCGUGGGGAGCGAAAGGG